CCUACGGGAGGCAGCAGUGAGGAAUAUUGGUCAAUGGGCGGGAGCCUGAACCAGCCAAGUCGCGUGAGGGAAGACGGUCCUAUGGAUUGUAAACCUCUUUAGGCGGGGAGCAAUGCCGGGCACGCGUGCCCGGAGUGAGAGUACCCGCAGAAUAAGCAUCGGCUAACUCCGUGCCAGCAGCCGCGGUAAUACGGAGGAUGCGAGCGUUAUCCGGAUUUAUUGGGUUUAAGGGGUGCGUAGGCGGAUUUUUAAGUCAGCGGUAAAAUGUCCGGGCUCAACCCGGGCCGGCCGUUGAAACUGGGGAUCUUGAGUGGGCGAGAAGUAUGCGGAAUGCGUGGUGUAGCGGUGAAAUGCAUAGAUAUCACGCAGAACUCCGAUUGCGAAGGCAGCACACCGGCGCCCGACUGACGCUGAGGCACGAAAGCGUGGGGAUCGAACAGGAUUAGAUACCCCUGUAGUC
rnacentral:rRNA from 1 species